rnacentral:rRNA from 1 species
AGAGUUUGAUCCUGGCUCAGGACGAACGCUGGCGGCGUGCCUAAUACAUGCAAGUAGAACGCUGAAGACUUUAGCUUGCUAGAGUUGGAAGAGUUGCGAACGGGUGAGUAACGCGUAGUAACCUGCCUACUAGCGGGGGAUAACUAUUGGAAACGAUAGCUAAUACCGCAUAACAGCAUUUAACACAUGUUAGAUGCUUGAAAGGAGCAAUUGCUUCACUAGUAGAUGGACCUGCGUUGUAUUAGCUAGUUGGUGAGGUAACGGCUCACCAAGGCGACGAUACAUAGCCAACCUGAGAGGGUGAUCGGCCACACUGGGACUGAGACACGGCCCACACUCCUACGGGAGGCAGCAGUAGGGAAUCUUCGGCAAUGGGGGCAACCUGACCGAGCAACGCCGCGUGAGUGAAGAAGGUUUUCGGAUCGUAAAGCUCUGUUGUAAGAUAAGAACGUGUGUUAGAGUGGAAAGUUCACACAGUACGGUAAAUUACCAGAAAGGGACGGCUAUCUACGUGCCAGCAGCCGCCGUAAU